UUUGACGCGAAUCACUUGCAUCCAAAGACGAUUUGGUCAUGUUCCUUUUCAGAAUCGCUCGUUUCUUUUAGUAAUUUAAGAUUAUGACUAGGCCUACAGCAUCUAACUAACUGUAAUCCUCUGAUAACUAAAUGUCUGAAGGCAAAAUACCAUUUUAUUGAUGAAUAUAUCUCCAUUUAACUCAUACAGUUUAGUGUAGGGUGUAAUGUCUGAAUGUUUUUGUUGACAGUAGCAGACACUACAUCUGCCUAUGAGCAAUGGACAGAACUGAGAAUACCAUAUCAUGAACAGUAGUGAACACUGCUGGCAACAUCCUGUUUUAAUAACAAAUUGCUAUAGACUAACAAGGCAACUGCUAUAUUAUAUUCUGACUCUUUACUGGACUCACCAGACUCUGCGCUGUAUACUACUGAACACAAUGAAGGAUCAACGUCUUUUCAUUUCGGAAUUCAAGUAGUAAGCGGUAGCCUGUUGUCUGGGAUCGAUUUCUCUACAUACAAGCCCCACCAGUGCAGUUGGCACACAACAGCAUCUCUCCUGAUCAAGUGAAAAGGAAUCCUAUGACACCGCUUGAUCUUUGUCUGACAUGGAAAUCUGCAAAUCAAAUAAGGUGGAAGAAUAACAUCUGGUUAAAAAAUUUAUGUGGAAAAAUAUCUGCUUUAAAGUGAUGUCAUGAACUGGACGCUGCACUCUUGAUUCCAACACUAAUAUUGUCAUGACCAAAUGUUAAAGUUCAUAUUCAGCAAGUUGAAGAUAACUGACACCAUCUUUAAGUAUAAGUUUCACAAAUAUGGUAUUCAGAAGUUUUUUGUUUUCACUACUGAUGUAUAUAUAGUAUAAAAAAAUGGAUUUCUGUAAUAGAAUAAAGUAUUGGAAUACA